AUGCACGCUGGCGGCGUGCCUAAUCCCUGCAAGUCGAGCGAACAGACGAGGAGCUUGCUCCUCUGACGUUAGCGGCGGACGGGUGAGUAACACGUGGAUAACCUACCUAUAAGACUGGGAUAACUUCGGGAAACCGGAGCUAAUACCGGAUAAUAUAUUGAACCGCAUGGUUCAAUAGUGAAAGACGGUUUUGCUGUCACUUAUAGAUGGAUCCGCGCCGCAUUAGCUAGUUGGUAAGGUAACGGCUUACCAAGGCAACGAUGCGUAGCCGACCUGAGAGGGUGAUCGGCCACACUGGAACUGAGACACGGUACAGACUCCUACGGGAGGCAGCAGUAGGGAAUCUUCCGCAAUGGGCGAAAGCCUGACGGAGCAACGCCGCGUGAGUGAUGAAGGUCUUCGGAUCGUAAAACUCUGUUAUUAGGGAAGAACAAAUGUGUAAGUAACUAUGCACGUCUUGACGGUACCUAAUCAGAAAGCCACGGCUAACUACGUG
rnacentral:rRNA from 1 species